AACGUAGGAGACAAACGUUAUCCGGAGUUACUGGGCGUAAAGGGCGUGUAGGUGGUUUUGUAAGUCUGGCGUGAAAUUUUUCGGCUUAACCGGGAAAGGUCGUCGGAUACUGCAAGGCUAGAGGACGGUAGAGGCGUGUGGAAUUCCGGGUGUAGCGGUGGAAUGCGUAGAGAUCGGGAAGAACACCGUGGCGAAGGCGGCCUGCU
rnacentral:rRNA from 1 species